rnacentral:tRNA from 1 species
GACCCCAUCGUCUAGCCCGGUCCAGGACAUCGCCCUUUCACGGCGGUAACGGGGGUUCGAAUCCCCCUGGGGUCGCCA